GUGCUCGUUUUGGCAGAACAUAUACUAAAAUUGGAAGAAUACAGAGAAAAUCAGCAGGGCCCCUGUGCAAGGAUGGCACGCAAAUUUAUGAAGCAUUCCAUAUUUUA
rnacentral:snRNA from 1 species